rnacentral:rRNA from 1 species
GACGGAGGAUGCAAGUAUUAUCCGGAAUCACUGGGCGUAAAGCGUCUGUAGGCGGUUUACUAAGUCAGCUGUUAAAUCUUGAGGCUCAACCUCAAAAUCGCAGUCGAAACUAUUAGGCUAGAGUAUAGUAGGGGUAAAGGGAAUUUCCAGUGGAGCGGUGAAAUGCGUAGAGAUUGGAAAGAACACCGAUGGCGAAGGCGCUUUACUGGGCUAUUACUAACACUCAGAGACGAAAGCUAGGGUAGCAAAUGGG